CACCGGCGGCUCGAGUGGUAACCGUUAUUAUUGGGUCUAAAGGGUCUGUAGCCGGCCAGGUAAGUCCCUUGGGAAAUCUGGCAGCUCAACUGUCAGGCUGCUAGGGGAUACUGUUUGGCUUGGGACCGGGAGAGGUGAGAGGUACCUUGGGGGUAGGGGUGAAAUCUUGUGAUCCUCGAGGGACCACCAGUGGCGAAGGCGUCUCACCAGAACGGGUCCGACGGUAAGGGACGAAAGCUAGGGGCACGAACCGG
rnacentral:rRNA from 1 species